rnacentral:lncRNA from 1 species
UGAGUCCUGUGCUGGGCUUUGUGCUGGGCAUGGAGUCUGCUCAAGAUUCUUUCUCUCUCUCUUUCUCUGACCCUCCCCACCUCUAAAAGAAAAAAAGCCAGGAGGGUACGCUGUGAGAAGUCCAAUGAAGCAUGUGCAUGUCAUCGAGGGAGCAACAGUUGUGAUCCCCAUGUUCCAAGUGAAACGGAGAGAUCAGGUAACUUGUUCAUGGGUCAGCCAGUGCAUAGAAGAACGGGACCCAAACCCCGGGGUCCGUCGUCUUUGCAGCUGUCCUAUGCUGCCUCUCCAUUCUCAGAUAUGAUGCUGAUUAUUUUUGUGAUGGUCACAGCUUCUGGGAUUAUUUCCCAUUUUGUAGAUGGAGAAACUGAGGUCCGAGGAGGGUUCA